UACGAAGGGGGCUAGCGUUGCUCGGAAUCACUGGGCGUAAAGCGCACGUAGGCGGAUCGUUAAGUCAGGGGUGAAAUCCUGGAGCUCAACUCCAGAACUGCCUUUGAUACUGGCGACCUUGAGUUCGGGAGAGGUGAGUGGAACUGCGAGUGUAGAGGUGAAAUUCGUAGAUAUUCGGAAGAACACCAGUGGCGAAGGCGGCUCACUGGUCCGGUACUGACGCUGAGGUGCGAAAGCGUGGGGAGCAAACAGG
rnacentral:rRNA from 1 species